rnacentral:tRNA from 1 species
CAUUAGAUAGCUUAAAGUAAGCAAUGGAAUUUUAAACCAUAGUAUAAUAUAAUAACGCAUAUUUCUAAUGA